GUCCCUGUAGCGCAAUGGAUAGCGCGUUUGAUUUUUAAUUUGAAGGUCGUGGGUUCGAAUCCCAACUGGGAUG
rnacentral:tRNA from 1 species